UUUUCCAAUGGCAAUAUCUGUUCACCGAUGAUGGCCAGAUCCAAUAGGACUUGAACCUACGCGGCUGGUGGGUAUAUUUUACCAGUCAGUAAUAGUUCGCAGCGGCUGAUGGCGAGGGAAAAGGGAAAAGGAGGUCCGCGUCGGUGGGUUUUCACCAUUUUCUGGCAAAGAGGGUCGCCGAAAUGGCGAUGGGACGGACUGAUUUUUGGUGGUUUUGGUGAUUUCCAAUGAUUUAGUUCACUGGUGGAGAGAGUCUAUUGAUUUUGGUUGGGUUUUUGCUGGACCUAACUGGAUUCCGGCAACAGAUAUACCAGCGGUUUCGCUGGUUUUUGAGUCGCCUGCGAAAAAUAGUAUUUUGGAUAAGAUUUUGUCAGACACUGUUCUCUCAUCGUUUCUCUCUUAAUCUUUC
rnacentral:lncRNA from 1 species